GACGAACGCUGGCGGCGUGCUUAACACAUGCAAGUCGAACGAUGAAGCUGGAGCUUGCUCCGGUGGAUUAGUGGCGAACGGGUGAGUAACACGUGAGCAAUCUGCCCUUCACUCUGGGAUAACUGCGGGAAACUGUAGCUAAUACUGGAUACGAGACCUUGGGGCAUCCCAGGGUCUGGAAAGAAUUUCGGUGAAGGAUGAGCUCGCGGCCUAUCAGCUAGUUGGUGAGGUAAUGGCUCACCAAGGCGACGACGGGUAGCCGGCCUGAGAGGUUGACCGGCCACACUGGGACUGAGACACGGCCCAGACUCCUACGGGAGGCAGCAGUGGGGAAUAUUGCACAAUGGGCGAAAGCCUGAUGCAGCAACGCCGCGUGAGGGAUGAAGGCCUUCGGGUUGUAAACCUCUUUUAGUAGGGAAGAAGCGCAAGUGACGGUACCUACAGAAAAAGCACCGGCUAACUACGUGCCAGCCGCCGCCGUAA
rnacentral:rRNA from 1 species